GGGAAGAAAAUUUAAAGUCGGGCCUGCCCACUGAAUAUUUUUGAAGGGCCGCGGUAUUUUGACCGUGCAAAGGUAGCAUAAUCAUUAGUCUUUUAAUUGAAGGCUGGAAUGAAUGGUUUGACGAAGUAUUAACUGUCUCUUUGUGAAGAAUGGAAUUUAACUUUUGAGUCAAAAGGCUUAAAUAAUAAUAGAGGACGAGAAGACCCUAUAGAGUUUUAUAUGAAUAAUAAAUAAUUUAUUUUUAGUGGUUGUAAGGGUUAAUUAUUGUUUGUAUUAUGUUGGGGUGACAUAAAGAUAUAAAAAACUCUUUAUUAUUACAUACAUAAAUUUAUGAAUAGGUGAUCCAUUAUUAAUGAUUAAAAGAUAAAAUUACCUUAGGGAUAACAGCGUAAUUUUCUUUGAGAGUUCGUAUCGAAAAGAAAGUUUGCGACCUCGAUGUUGGAUUAAGAUAAUGGUUUGGUGUAGCAGCUAAAUUAAUAAGUCUGUUCGACUUUUAAAAUCUUAC
rnacentral:rRNA from 1 species